rnacentral:lncRNA from 1 species
CAAAAUGUUGGUAUUGGUCCCCACCUCAUAAUGUAAGUUUGUGGCCCGAUGGAACGGGCCAUACGAAGUCCUUGAGAAGGUGGGUGAAGUUAACUAUAGGGUCAGACAGCCGGGACGUAGGCAUCUGACCCAGAUUUACCAUGUGAAUUUGUUAAAGAAAUGGAAUGCACGUGAUGUACUCUACUCUAUUUCCCCAAAGAAGGGAACCACAGAGACCAAGCCAGCGGAGGUGCCACUGGGGAACCAGGAUGUGUUCUCCAGUGAACCAGGACACCAAUCUGGUACAGCACAGUAUCAUCACCGAACCCGGGAAAAAGGUGUGGUUGAGACCAUACCGCAUACCGGAAGCAAGGAGGGAGGCCAUCAGGACCGAGGUGCCCUUAGCUCCCGAGGUGCGGGAGAAAACUGCUUUCGCCACCCCUGAUGGGCUGUUCCACUACAAGAAGCUGCCUUUUGGGUUGCACCAGGCCCCGGCCACCUUCCAGAGGUUGAUGGACCAGAUUCUCCAUCCCCAUCGUGAGUAUGCGGUGGCCUACCUCGAUGAUAUUGUGAUCCAUGGGAGCAAGUGGGAGACGUAUCUAAACCAGGUGAGCACGGUAUUGCAGGCCUUACGGAGGGCGGGGCUAACAGCUAACCCAAGGAAAUGUCAGCUCGGCCUGCGGGAGGCUGGGUACCUGGGGUACACAAUCGGGAGGGGAUGUGUUAAACCCCAGGUGAAGAAAGUGGAGGUGAUUUGGGACUGGCCCCGCCCCCUCACAAGAAGCAGGUAUGCACGUUUGUGUGAUUGACUACUUACUACCGGAGAUUUAUUCCCCACUUUGCCUCCCAAGCCAGCCCCCUGAUAGAUCUGACCAGGAGCCGUCUGCUCACCCAGGUGACGUGGACCGAGAAGACGGAGAAAGCCUUCCAAGACCUAAAGAGGGCACUGUGUUCUGGACCCGUGCUGGUGACACCGGACUUCUCGAAACCACUGGUGGUACAGACCGAUGCGUCCAAAACAGGGGUAGGUGCCGUCCUAUCACAGCUACAAGAAGGUGAGGAACAACCAGUCGUGCACAUUAGCUGGAAGCUGUUGCCGCAGUAACAAAGAUAUUCCACCGUGGAGAAAGAAUAUCUAGCAAUUAAGUGGGCGCUGGAGACGCUGAAAUAUUACUUAUUGGGACGGCACUUCACCCUCGUAACGGACCAUGCACCACUGGUUUGGAUGUGACGGAAUAAGGACAGUAACGCCCGGGUCGGCAGGGAGAAGUGAGGGGAGUGGUGAUUGAAGGGAGAUAUCUUGCAGCCAGCUGGCUCCACCUCUGAGCCUUAUAUGGACUUCCUGUCCCAACGAGGCAAGCCUGUGGAUCAUUAAGCCAUGGAGUGCUUGGGGAUGAAAGAGGAAGCGGGCUGCACAAACAGGGAGAGGACUGAGAGGGAAACCUGUGUUAUGGAGAGUGUGAGAAGAGAGAGAAUUAGUUGUGUGAUUACCCAUUGUGACCUGGACUGUCUGAUUACCCCCACUGUGUACCGAACCAGUUUGGCUGAGGACCCGAGUUUUAGGAUUACUCCUGGAGAAUGGAACGGACAAUGAGAACGGAGUGUGGACUGUGAAGUGGUUGCAGAAUUCCCC